rnacentral:rRNA from 1 species
AUGGAAAUGGGUUCAUCUACUACAAGUAGUGCUACUGUUGGUGACAAUGAAGCUGCUCAAGGAAUCCGGAGUCUGCGCAAGCCUGAUAAUUAUUUAUAUGCAAGUGAUGCCUUCAUUCAGAGCGACCUACAAGCUGGCACCGAUAAUGAAGGUGUAAUCAGCUGGAUGUGGGAUUGCCCAGCUAUUCCUACUCCAACGGCUCAGGACUUGUAUGUUCACUUACAAGAUAAUCAGGGGAUGAAGAGGGGAUUACUGCAGCAACAACAGAGCAACAUCAAAAGAAUUAAUAUUAGUGCUGAUUCACCCUCUCGCCGCGUAUUUAAUAAUGCUUGCAUGCUUCACGUGCAUGAUAGUUUGUCCAUCACUUGCAUCACAUGCCCACAAGGUUCAUACUGGAGGAGCCUUGAAUGGUGCCGAGUCGAGAGGUGCCCCGAGCUGCUUACUGUCUUUCGUACUGCCCAACAAAGCAAGGGCGAUAGCUUCUGUCAUCAGUUGAGCACAUUCUGGGCAUCUCAACUCUUGAAGGCACGCUACAUCUGGUAUUGGAGUGCAAUGCGUGUGUUCUCCUCUGUAAACAUAGUAUUGUUGCACCUGGACUACUGCCCUAGGCUCAGACAUGUGCUUCCCUUGUCCGAGUCUGUGGACACUUUGCCUUGCCUGGAUACCCUGGAAAUUGUGUGUUGUGGAGAUCUUAGGGAGGUCUUCGCUUUUUUCCCUAAGCAAAAGGAGCAGAAAGUUAUACAGUUUCCCAAGCUAAGGCGCAUCCACCUGUAUGAGCUUCCCAGCCUGCGGCGCAUCUGUGGGAGCAAGAUGUCCGCGCCCAACUUGGAGACCAUCAAGAUUAGGGGCUGCUGGAGCCUCAAGUGCCUUCCUGCUGUCAGCGGAAACAACGAGAAGCUGCCUAGUGUGGACUGUGAGAAGGAAUGGUGGGAUAACCUGGAGUGGGACGGGGUGAAGGCGAACCACCACUCUUCACUGUAUGAGCAUAGCCACUCAUCAUACUACAAGGCCCAGCUGCCAAGAGGCACAGUUUUAAGGUAA